rnacentral:rRNA from 1 species
CAGCCGCCGCGGUAAAACGAGGGGUGCAAGCGUUAUUCGGAUUGAUUGGGUGUAAAGGGUGUGCAGACGGCUUAUUAAGUCACUUGCUAAAUUCCUCGGCCUAACUGAAGGUCUGCAAGUGAUACUGAUGAGCUAGAGGGUGGAAGAGAGAAGUGGAAUUCUCGGAGUAGCGGUAAAAUGCGUAGAUCUCGAGAGGAACACCAAUGGCGAAGGCAGCUUCUUGGUCCAUUCCUGACGUUCAUACACGAAAGCGUGGGGAGCAAACAGGAUUAGAGACCCCUGUAGUCCCUGUCUCUUAUAC